CGGACGGGUGAGUAAUGUCUGGGAAACUGCCUGAUGGAGGGGGGAUAACUACUGGAAACGGUAGCUAAUACCGCAUAACGUCGCAAGACCAAAGAGGGGGACCUUCGGGCCUCUUGCCAUCAGAUGUGCCCAGAUGGGAUUAGCUAGUAGGUGGGGUAACGGCUCACCUAGGUGACGAUCCCUAGCUGGUCUGAGAGGAUGACCAGCCACACUGGAACUGAGACACGGUCCAGACUCCUACGGGAGGCAGCAUG
rnacentral:rRNA from 1 species